AGAAGUUUUAAUCGAAGCUGCUAACUUUGAUUAGGGGAUAAGUUGUCUCCACUUCUA
rnacentral:tRNA from 1 species